rnacentral:rRNA from 1 species
UCCUGAGGAAGGUUCGUCCACUCAGGGUAAGUCGGGACCUAAGCCGAGAGCGAGAGCUGUAGGCGAUGGACAACAGGUUAAUAUUCCUGUACUACCGAUGAUUGUAUGAGUGAAGUGGGGACGCAGAAGGAUAAGUUGAGCACGCCGUUGGUUGAGCGUGUCCAAGCAGUGAGGUUUGAAUGUAGGCAAAUCCGCAUUCUACAAGAUUGAGCUGUGAUGGGGUGACGAAAGUCAAUAAGCAACUGAUUUCACGCUGCCGAGAAAAGCCACUAGCGAGAUCAAAGGUACCCGUACCGCAAACCGACACAGGUAGAUGAGGAGAGAAUCCUAAGGUGAGCGAGCGAACUAUUGUUAAGGAACUCGGCAAAAUAACCCCGUAACUUCGGGAGAAGGGGUGCCCACAUAAGUGGGCCGCAGUGAAGAGGUCCAGGCAACUGUUUACCAAAAACACAGGUCUCUGCUAAAUCGAAAGAUGAAGUAUAGGGGCUGACGCCUGCCCGGUGCUGGAAGGUUAAGGGGAAGUGUUAGAGCAAUCGAAGCACCGAACUUAAGCCCCAGUAAACGGCGGCCGUAACUAUAACGGUCCUAAGGUAGCGAAAUUCCUUGUCGGGUAAGUUCCGACCCGCACGAAAGGCGUAAUGAUCUGGACACUGUCUCAACAAUAGGCUCGGUGAAAUUGUAGUACCGGUAAAGAUGCCGGUUACCCGCAGCAGGACGGAAAGACCCCGUGGAGCUUCACUGUAGCUUGAUAUUGAGUUUCGGCGUUGCAUGUACAGGAUAGGUGGGAGACUAUGAGACGGGUACGCCAGUAUCCGUGGAGUCACCGUUGGGAUACCACCCUUGUAACGUUGGAAUUCUAACCGAGUAUCGUAAUCCGGUACCGGGACAGUGUCAGGUGGGCAGUUUGACUGGGGCGGUCGCCUCCUAAAGAGUAACGGAGGCGCCCAAAGGUUCCCUCAGCGCGGACGGAAAUCGCGCGAAGAGUGCAAAGGCAAAAGGGAGCUUGACUGCGAGACAUACAGGUCGAGCAGGGACGAAAGUCGGGCUUAGUGAUCCGGUGGUACCGCGUGGAAGGGCCAUCGCUCAACGGAUAAAAGCUACCCCGGGGAUAACAGGCUUAUACCCCCCAAGAGUUCACAUCGACGGGGGUGUUUGGCACCUCGAUGUCGGCUCGUCUCAUCCUGGGGCUGAAGUAGGUCCCAAGGGUUGGGCUGUUCGCCCAUUAAAGAGGUACGCGAGCUGGGUUCAGAACGUCGUGAGACAGUUCGGUCCCUAUCCGCUGUGGGCGUUGGAAAUUUGAGAGGAGCUAUCCUUAGUACGAGAGGACCGGGAUGGACAUACCUCUGGUGCACCGGUUGUUCUGCCAAGGGCAUAGCCGGGUAGCUAAGUAUGGACGGGAUAAGCGCUGAAAGCAUCUAAGUGCGAAGCCCCCCUCAAGAUAAGAUUUCCCCCAGAAAUGGUAAGACCCGUGAGAGACUAUCACGUUGAUAGGCCAGAGGUGUAAGUGCAGUAAUGCAUUCAGCUGACUGGUACUAAUCGGUCGAGGACUUGACC